rnacentral:misc_RNA from 1 species
GAUGAAGAACGUAGCGAAAUGCGAUACGUAAUGUGAAUUGCAGAAUUCAGUGAAUCAUCGAGUCUUUGAACGCACAUUGCGCCCCCUGGUAUUCCGGGGGGCAUGCCUGUCCGAGCGUCAUUGCUGCCCUCAAGCACGGCUUGUGUGUUGGGCCUCCGUCCUCCUCCCGGGGGACGGGCCCGAAAGGCAGCGGCGGCACCGCGUCCGGUCCUCGAGCGUAUGGGGCUUCGUCACCCGCUCUUGUAGGCCCGGCCGGCGCUUGCCGACACAUCAAUCUUUUUUCCAGGUUGACCUCGGAUCAGGUAGGGAUACCCGCUGAACUUAAGCAUAUCAAUAAGCGGA